UUCGGGGUACUCGAGCGGCGAACGGGUGAGUAACACGUGAGUAACCUGCCCCUGACUCUGGGAUAAGCCUGGGAAACCGGGUCUAAUACCGGAUACGACCAUUUCUCGCAUGGGAUGGUGGUGGAAAGUUUUUUCGGUUGGGGAUGGGCUCGCGGCCUAUCAGCUUGUUGGUGGGGUGAUGGCCUACCAAGGCGACGACGGGUAGCCGGCCUGAGAGGGCGACCGGCCACACUGGGACUGAGACACGGCCCAGACUCCUACGGGAGGCAGCAGUGGGGAAUAUUGCGCAAUGGGCGGAAGCCUGACGCAGCGACGCCGCGUGGGGGAUGACGGCCUUCGGGUUGUAAACCUCUUUCAGCAGGGACGAAGUUGACGUGUACCUGUAGAAGAAGCGCCGGCUAACUACGUGCCAGCAGCCGCGGUAAUACGUAGGGCGCGAGCGUUGUCCGGAAUUAUUGGGCGUAAAGAGCUCGUAGGUGGCUUGUCGCGUCUGCCGUGAAAGCCCGUGGCUUAACUACGGGUCUGCGGUGGAUACGGGCAGGCUAGAGGCUGGUAGGGGCAAGCGGAAUUCCUGGUGUAGCGGUGAAAUGCGCAGAUAUCA
rnacentral:rRNA from 1 species